rfam:Streptomyces sp. NBRC 110611 DNA, contig: scaffold00039.
CUUCACCGCGCCCAGCAGCAACGGACGCUCCGAAGGCCGCUCCUGGCCGUAGGUGGCCAGCAGUGCCUGGGCCUC